AGUCUCGCAUUGAGCACAAAGUGAACUAUUCUUUCGCCUUUUACUAAAGAAUACCGUGUGCUCGUUGCAAAUAAGAGGCAUACAUCAAUUUUUGGAGGGGAUUUGCUCUUUGAAGUAAUU